rnacentral:rRNA from 1 species
CUGGUGCCAGCAGCCGCGGUAAUUCCAGCUCCAAUAGCGUAUAUUAAAGUUGCUGACAGUUAAAAAGCUCGUAGUUGAAUUUCGGGACUAAUAUGUUGGUCGUGCCUCGGUACGUACUGAUUAUUUUGGUUUCUCCCUUCUGACGAACCUUGAUGUCAUUAAUUUGGUGUCUUGGGAAAUCAGGACUGUUACUUUGAAAAAUUAGAGUGUUUAAAGCAGGCUCACGCUUGAAUACAUUAGCAUGGAAUAAUGAAAUAGGACGUUUGAUUCUAUUUUGUUGGUUUCUAGGAUCGACGUAAUGAUUAAUAGGGAUAGUUGGGGGCAUUAGUAUUCAAUUGUCAGAGGUGAAAUUCUUGGAUUUAUUGAAGACUAACUACUGCGAAAGCAUUUGCCAAGGAUGUUUUCAUUAAUCAAGAACGAAAGUUAGGAGAUCGAAGACGAUCAGAUACCGUCGUAGUCUUAACCAUAAACUAUGCCGACUAGGGAUCGGAUGAUGUUAAUUUUUAAUGACUCAUUCGGCGCCUUACG